AGAACGAACGCUGGCGGCAGGCUUAACACAUGCAAGUCGAACGGUUGUAGCAAUACAGCAGUGGCAGACGGGUGAGUAACACGUGGGAACCUUCCUAGGGGUACGGAACAACUCAGGGAAACUUGAGCUAAUACCGUAUACGUCCGUGAGGAGAAAGAUUUAUCGCCCCUAGACGGGCCCGCGUAGGAUUAGGUAGUUGGUGAGGUAACGGCUCACCAAGCCUACGAUCCUUAGCUGAUCUGAGAGGAUGAUCAGCCACACUGGGACUGAGACACGGCCCAGACU
rnacentral:rRNA from 1 species